rnacentral:rRNA from 1 species
ACGAACGCUGGCGGCGUGCUUAACACAUGCCAGUCGAACGGAAAGGCCCCUUUGGGGGUACUCGAGUGGCGAACGGGUGAGUAACACGUGAGUAACCUGCCCUUGACUUCGGGAUAACUUCAGGAAACUGGGGCUAAUACCGGAUAGGAAUCCUUGCUGCAUGGUGGGGGUUGGAAAGCUUCGGCGGUUUUAGAUGGACUCGCGGCUUAUCAGCUUGUUGGUGGGGUAGUGGCUUACCAAGGCUUUGACGGGUAGCCGGCCUGAGAGGGCGACCGGCCACAUUGGGACUGAGAUACGGCCCAGACUCCUACGGGAGGCAGCAGUGGGGAAUAUUGCACAAUGGGCGGAAGCCUGAUGCAGCAACGCCGCGUGCGGGAUGACGGCCUUCGGGUUGUAAACCGCUUUCAGCAGGGGCGAAGCUUGUGGUGACGGUACCUGCAGAAGAAGCACCGGCUAACUACGUG